rnacentral:misc_RNA from 1 species
GUUGUUGUCGUCCUUGCAUAUCAUAUUUGAAGAUUGAUGAGCUGAAAAACUUUCAAAGAUGAAAUGCUGAGGACUAUUGCCAUGCAACUGAUUAAAUAAUGAGUUAAUUCCGAGCUGAACUCGCGGAGGAAGUCGUAGAAUUAUUUCCGUUCAAUCUGCUUCCGUUAUGAGCAACCAUAUCAUCGUUGUGUCUCUGCUCAACGUUUGAAGGUAUGUUGUUGUCCGUGUUAUUUUCCCGUGUCUCGAGCUGUCCCAUAGAAGUACUUCGAGAAAACAAUCUCUCUUUCCACCCGCGUGUACUCUUUGAGAUUGAUUCUCUAUAUUUCAUUGACAUUGAAUUAAAUCGAGAUUUCCAGGAUUCCGAUAAUGAAUGAAGAAGGUCUGAUGGUCCUUCGGUAUCCUCGUUUUCUGUCAAAGAUGGACCAGAAGAGCUUCUAUCGCCAACAGAUAUUUCUUGUUUAACGGUUUGUGGGCGAACAUAUCGAGAUGAUGAAGCAGAAAGUUGAUUACUUUGACCAGAUGAGAGGUGAGGCAAGAACUGUGCAGUCUCAUGGCGGACAGGUGUUAUAGGAACAGAAGGAUCAGCUAUAGCUUGACGAGAAUCCGAUUCAGCAGCAGCAGUAGGAGAUGGAUCAGGAUGAGAUGAAAACACUAAAAAAUGCGGACGACCAUGGGGAGAUGGCCGAUUUCUUGAUCCCUCUCGUUGACCAAAGUGGUGUCCCCGUCCCAUUGCUGCAGCAGCAGCCAAAUGCUGAAUAAUGCGCUCUUCGAGUUCAGACUCACUCAUACCCGUGGUCAACAGCGUAGGACGACGAAACAUCGUAGCGUUUCUUGCCUGAUUAAACCUAAUAGUCCUCUCUUGUUCCACUGCCUCAAGCAAUUCUUGACUU